AAAACUGCUGUGUCGUUUUGCUGUGUCUGUCAAUAAUUAUUAAAUUCAGCCACAAUGUUUGACUACCAAAUUGGUCUCCAAUUCUCUUCCAAUUUUCCGGCUUUCUGUGGGUGUAUAUAUAUGUAUUAAAUUCAACUUGGCAGCCCACUACUUUAUUAAUUCCAAAUCAACCCCAACUUAGCUCAAAGUUUGGUCUCGUUCUCUCGCCAACACUCGUCAAAUAUUUCAUAAUUCGAGACGCAAUCCGGAUCACAUCAGUGAAGGUGAAGGAAAGUGGUGGAGAUUCUUGUAGUGUUGAUGUAGCGUCGACAAAAUAUCCAACACACCCUGAUAGAGGUUGCUGAAGAUUUAUCUAAAACACCCACUUCUCAACCUGCAAGAUUUCUCUCAGUUACACUGUGUGUGUGGGUACUUGUUGUCUUCCUUACUUCUGUAAUUCGUUUAGCCUCAAAGAAUUUGAAGGUUAAUAUAAUUUAAUCGGAAAUUAUCGAUAAUGCUUGUCGACUCAUGCGAGCA
rnacentral:lncRNA from 1 species